GAUAUAUGUACAUGACAAGUGAGAGGGCAGGAUUUUGGAAGCAAAAAUAG
ensembl:ncRNA R02E12.10 ncRNA